rnacentral:rRNA from 1 species
GUCGGACGGUUUGCGCUGGAAGUUUCGCUGAAAGGCGCAGAUAGUGGCGGACGGGUGAGUAACGCGUGAGGACAUGUUGCAGGAGGGGGAUAACGUUGGAAAACGGACGCUAAGACCCCGUAUGCCGGAGGGUGAAAGUGGCGGAAGCCAGCCUGUGGAGUGACUCGCGUCCUAUCAGCUAGUUGGCGGGGUGAAGGCCCACCAAGGCGAUGACGGGUAGCCGACCUGAGAGGGUGGCCGGCCACACUGGAACUGAGAUACGGUCCAGACUCCUACGGGAGGCAGCAGUGGGGAAUAUUGGGCAAUGGGCGGAAGCCUGACCCAGCGACGCCGCGUGGGGGAAGAAGUCUUUCGGGAUGUAAACCCUUGUUGUACGGGACGAAGGAAGUGACGGUACCGUACGAGGAAGCCCCGGCAAACUACGUGCCAGCAGCCGCGGUAAUACGUAGGGGGCGAGCGUUGUCCGGAAUCACUGGGCGUAAAGCGCACGUAGGCGGGCUGUCAAGUCGGCCGUGAAAGGCACGGGCUCAACCUGUGCAUGUCGGUCGAUACUGGCGGUCUGGAGUAUGGGAGAGGGGACUGGAAUUCCCGGUGUAGCGGUGAAAUGCGUAGAUACCGGGAGGAACACCAGUGGCGAAGGCGGGUUCCUGGCCCAUGACUGACGCUGAGGUGCGAAAGCCGGGGGAGCGAACGGGAUUAGAUACCCCGGUAGUCCCGGCUGUAAACGAUGGAUGCUAGGUGUGGGGGGGUUACCCUCUGUGCCGCAGCUAACGCGAUAAGCAUCCCGCCUGGGGAGUACGAUCGCAAGAUUGAAACUCAAAGGAAUUGACGG